rnacentral:rRNA from 1 species
UGGUGGAGCAAUUUGUCUGGUUUAUUCCGAUAACGAACGAGACUCUGACCUACUAAAUAGUGGGCGGAUUCUGUCUGUCCGCAACACUUCUUAGAGGGACAAGCGGUGUUCAGCCGCACGAGAUUGAGCAAUAACA